UUGGGAAUAUUGCACAAUGGAGGGAACUCUGAUGCAGCGACGCCGCGUGAACGAAGAAGGCUUUCGAGUCGUAAAGUUCUUUUAUAUGGGAAGAUAAUGACGGUACCAUAAGAAGAAGCCCCGGCUAACUACGUGCCAGCAGCCGCGGUAAUACGUAGGGGGCUAGCGUUGUCCGGAAUCACUGGGCGUAAAGGGUUCGCAGGCGGAAAUGCAAGUCAGGUGUAAAAGGCAGUAGCUUAACUACUGUAAGCAUUUGAAACUGCAUAUCUUGAGAAGAGUAGAGGUAAGUGGAAUUUUUAGUGUAGCGGUGAAAUGCGUAGAUAUUAAAAAGAAUACCGGUGGCGAAGGCGACUUACUGGGCUCAUUCUGACGCUGAGGAACGAAAGCGUGGGUAGCAAACAGG
rnacentral:rRNA from 1 species